rnacentral:rRNA from 1 species
AACGAACGCUGGCGGCAUGCUUAACACAUGCAAGUCGAACGAGACCUUCGGGUCUAGUGGCGCACGGGUGCGUAACGCGUGGGAAUCUGCCCUUUGCUACGGAAUAACUCAGAGAAAUUUGUGCUAAUACCGUAUAAUGUCGUAAGACCAAAGAUUUAUCGGCAAAGGAUGAGCCCGCGUAAAGAUUAGCUUGUUAGGUGAGGUAAAGGCUCACCAAGGCGACGAUCUUUAGCUGGUCUGAGAGGAUGAUCAGCCACACUGGGACUGAGACACGGCCCAGACUCCUACGGAGGCAGCAGUGGGGAAUAUUGGACAAUGGGCGAAAGCCUGAUCCAGCAAUGCCGCGUGAGUGAUG